rnacentral:rRNA from 1 species
UACGGGGGAGCAAGCGUUGUUCGGAUUUACUGGGCGUAAAGGGCGCGUAGGCGGUCGUGACAAGUCACUUGUGAAAUCUCCGGGCUUAACUCGGAACGGUCAAGUGAUACUGUCGGACUAGAGUACAGAAGGGGGCAACUGGGAAUUCUCGGUGUAGCGGUGAAAUGCGUAGAUAUCGAGAGGAACACCUGCGGCGAAGGCGGGUUGCUGGGCUGAUACUGACGUGAGGCGCCGAAAGCUAGGGGGAGCGAAACGGGG